rnacentral:rRNA from 1 species
ACGAACGCUGGCGGCGUGCCUAACACAUGCAAGUCGAACGGAGUUAAGACUUCGGUUUUAACUUAGUGGCGAACGGGUGAGUAACGCGUGAGAAACCUACCUUUCAGUGGGGGACAACAGUUGGAAACGACUGCUAAUACCGCAUAAUGUAUUUUGACCGCAUGAUCGAAAUACCAAAGCUUUAUGUGCUGAAAGAUGGUCUCGCGUCUGAUUAGCUAGUUGGUGGGGUAACGGCCUACCAAGUCAACGAUCAGUAGCCGAACUGAGAGGUUGAACGGCCACAUUGGGACUGAGAUACGGCCCAGACUCCUACGGGAGGCAGCAGUGGGGGAUAUUGGACAAUGGGGGCAACCCUUAUCCAGCGACGCCGCGUGAGGGAAGAAGGUUUUCGGAUUGUAAACCUCUGUCAGUGGGGACGAUAAUGACGGUACCCACGGAGGAAGCCACGGCUAACUACGUG